UCAGCAGUGAGGAAUAUUGGUCAAUGGCCUAACGGCUGAACCAGCAACUUGCAGGAAUGAGAGUUAAUAUAAUAAGUUAUUAACUUGCUUGACUAGGUCUUAUAAAGUUCUGGAUAAAGCUUAUUAUGAAAACUUUAUAUCCAUAGGUCUCGACCAAAUCUUGUGCCAGCAGUCGCGGUAAGACAAGGGAGACGAGUGUUAUUCAUCUUUAACAGGUAUAUAGGGUACCUAGACGGUGUGCAAUGGCUUAAAUAAGUACCUGGUACACUUGAGUUUGAUAUGUGAGAGGAAUAUGUCGGAAUUGUUGGAGGAAAGAUGAAAUUUGUUAAUACCAAUAGGACUGAUAACGGCGAAGGCAAACCUCUAUGUACAUGUACUUGCUAUUUCUGUUUUUAUUAUAGCAAAAUAGCAAUGUACUAUAACUGACGUUGAGGGACGAAGGCUCAGAGAGUGAAGAGGAUUAGAUACCCCCGUAACCUGGGCAGACAAUGAUGAGUGCCAUAGGUUGGCUUUAAGGCGGAACUAUAAAUGAAAGUGGAAGCACUCCACCUCAAGAGUAAUGUGGCAACGCAGGAACUGAAAUCAUUAGACCGUUUCUGAAACCAGUAGUGAAGUAUGUUAUUUAAUUCGAUGAUCCGC
rnacentral:rRNA from 1 species